GAUGAACGCUGGCGGCGUGCUUAACACAUGCAAGUCGAACGAAGCGCUUGAGAUUGAUUCUUCGGAUGAUUUCUCUUGUGACUUAGUGGCGGACGGGUGAGUAACGCGUGGGUAACCUGCCUCACACAGGGGGAUAACAGUUGGAAACGACCGCUAAUACCGCAUAACCCGCUAGGGCCGCAUGGCCCGGACGGAAAAGAUUUAUCGGUGUGAGAUGGACCCGCGUUGGAUUAGCUAGUUGGCAGGGUAAUGGCCUACCAAGGCGACGAUCCAUAGCCGGCCUGAGAGGGUGAACGGCCACAUUGGGACUGAGACACGGCCCAAACUCCUACGGGAGGCAGCAGUGGGGAAUAUUGCACAAUGGGGGAAACCCUGAUGCAGCGACGCCGCGUGAGUGAAGAAGUAUUUCGGUAUGUGAAGCUCUAUCAGCAGGGAAGAAAAUGACGGUACCUGACUAAGAAGCCCCGGCUAACUACGUGCCAGCCGCCGCAGUAAUAC
rnacentral:rRNA from 1 species